GACAGAGGGUGCAAACGUUUGUUCGGAAUUACUGGGCGUAAAGCGCGUGUAGGCGGCUCGGAAAGUCGGGUGUGAAAGCCCUGGGCUCAACCUAGGAAGUGCACUCGAAACUUCCGAGCUGGAGUUCUGGAGAGGAAGGCGGAAUUCUCGGUGUAGAGGUGAAAUUCGUAGAUAUCGAGAGGAACACCGGUGGCGAAGGCGGCCUUCUGGACAGCAACUGACGCUGAGACGCGAAAGCGUGGGGAGCAAACAGG
rnacentral:rRNA from 1 species